GAUGAACGCUGGCGGCGUGCCUAAUACAUGCAAGUCGAGCGAACAGACGAGGAGCUUGCUCCUCUGACGUUAGCGGCGGACGGGUGAGUAACACGUGGAUAACCUACCUAUAAGACUGGGAUAACUUCGGGAAACCGGAGCUAAUACCGGAUAAUAUAUUGAACCGCAUGGUUCAAUAGUGAAAGACGGUUUUGCUGUCACUUAUAGAUGGAUCCGCGCCGCAUUAGCUAGUUGGUAAGGUAACGGCUUACCAAGGAAACGAUGCGUAGCCGACCUGAGAGGGUGAUCGGCCACACAGGAACUGAGACACGGUCCAGACUCCUACGGGAGGCAGCAGUAGGGAAUCUUCCGCAAUGGGCGAAAGCCUGACGGAGCAACGCCGCGUGAGUGAUGAAGGUCUUCGGAUCGUAAAACUCUGUUAUUAGGGAAGAACAAAUGUGUAAGUAACUAUGCACGUCUUGACGGUACCUAAUCAGAAAGCCACGGCUAACUACGU
rnacentral:rRNA from 1 species